rnacentral:rRNA from 1 species
GACGAACGCUGUCGGCGUGCUUAACACAUGCAAGUCGAACGGAAAGGCCCUGCUUUUGUGGGGUGCUCGAGUGGCGAACGGGUGAGUAACACGUGAGUAACCUGCCCUUGACUUUGGGAUAACUUCAGGAAACUGGGGCUAAUACCGGAUAGGAGCUCCUGCUGCAUGGUGGGGGUUGGAAAGUUUCGGCGGUUGGGGAUGGACUCGCGGCUUAUCAGCUUGUUGGUGGGGUAGUGGCUUACCAAGGCUUUGACGGGUAGCCGGCCUGAGAGGGUGACCGGCCACAUUGGGACUGAGAUACGGCCCAGACUCCUACGGGAGGCAGCAGUGGGGAAUAUUGCACAAUGGGCGGAAGCCUGAUGCAGCAACGCCGCGUGCGGGAUGACGGCCUUCGGGUUGUAAACCGCUUUCGCCUGUGACGAAGCGUGAGUGACGGUAAUGGGUAAAGAAGCACCGGCUAACUACGUGCCAGCAGCCGCGGUGAUACGUAGGGUGCGAGCGUUGUCCGGAUUUAUUGGGCGUAAAGGGCUCGUAGGUGGUUGAUCGCGUCGGAAGUGUAAUCUUGGGGCUUAACCCUGAGCGUGCUUUCGAUACGGGUUGACUUGAGGAAGGUAGGGGAGAAUGGAAUUCCUGGUGGAGCGGUGGAAUGCGCAGAUAUCAGGAGGAACACCAGUGGCGAAGGCGGUUCUCUGGGCCUUUCCUGACGCAGAGGAGCGAAAGCGUGGGGAGCGAACAGGCUUAGAUACCCUGGUAGUCCACGCUGUAAACGGUGGGUACUAGGUGUGGGGUCCAUUCCACGGGUUCCGUGCCGUAGCUAACGCUUUAAGUACCCCGCCUGGGGAGUACGGCCGCAAGGCUAAAACUCAAAGGAAUUGACGGGGCCCCGCACAAGCGGCGGAGCAUGCGGAUUAAUUCGAUGCAACGCGUAGAACCUUACCUGGGUUUGACAUGGAUCGGGAGUGCUCAGAGAUGGGUGUGCCUCUUUUGGGGUCGGUUCACAGGUGGUGCAUGGCUGUCGUCAGCUCGUGUCGUGAGAUGUUGGGUUAAGUCCCGCAACGAGCGCAACCCUUGUUCACUGUUGCCAGCACGUUAUGGUGGGGACUCAGUGGAGACCGCCGGGGUCAACUCGGAGGAAGGUGGGGAUGACGUCAAGCCAUCAUGCCCCUUAUGUCCAGGGCUUCACGCAUGCUACAAUGGCUGGUACAGAGAGUGGCGAGCCUGUGAGGGUGAGCGAAUCUCGGAAAGCCGGUCUCAGUUCGGAUUGGGGUCUGCAACUCGACCUCAUGAAGUCGGAGUCGCUAGUAAUCGCAGAUCAGCAACGCUGCGGUGAAUACGUUCCCGGGGCU